UCAUGGGCGAGAGCCUGAACCAGCCAAGUAGCGUGAAGGAUGAAGGCUCUANNGGUCGUAAACUUCUUUUAUAUGGGAAUAAAGUUUUCCACGUGUGGAAUUUUGUAUGUACCAUAUGAAUAAGGAUCGGCUAACUCCGUGCCAGCAGCCGCGGUAAUACGGAGGAUCCGAGCGUUAUCCGGAUUUAUUGGGUUUAAAGGGAGCGUAGGUGGAUUGUUAAGUCAGUUGUGAAAGUUUGCGGCUCAACCGUAAAAUUGCAGUUGAAACUGGCAGUCUUGAGUACAGUAGAGGUGGGCGGAAUUCGUGGUGUAGCGGUGAAAUGCUUAGAUAUCACGAAGAACUCCGAUUGCGAAGGCAGCUCACUAGACUGUCACUGACACUGAUGCUCGAAAGUGUGGGUAUCAAACAGGAUUAGAUACCCUGGUAGUCCAAGGGCGAAUUC
rnacentral:rRNA from 1 species